AAACUUUCAACAAUGGAUCUCUUGGCUCUCGCAUCGAUGAAGAACGCAGCGAAAUGCGAUAAGUAAUAUGAAUUGCAGAAUUCCGUGAAUCAUCAAAUUUCUGAACGCAAAUUGCACUUCUUGGUAUUCCGAGGAGUACACAUGCUUGAGGGUCAGU
rnacentral:rRNA from 1 species